rnacentral:sRNA from 1 species
CGCAGCCGCGGUAAUUCCAGCUCCAAUAGCGUAUAUUAAAGUUGUUGCAGUUAAAAAGCUCGUAGUUGAAUUUCGGGGUCAGUAGAUUGGUCGUGCCACUGGUAUGUACUGGUCUUACUGGCUCCUCCUUCCUGAUGAACCGUAAUGCCAUUAAUUUGGUGUUGCGGGGAGACUGGACUGUUACUUUGAAAAAUUAGAGUGUUUAAAGCAGGCUAACGCUUGAAUACAUUAGCAUGGAAUAAUGAAAUAGGACGUUCGAUCUUAUUUUGUUGGUUUCUAAGAUUGACGUAAUGAUUAAUAGGGAUAGUUGGGGGCAUUAGUAUUCAAUUGUCAGAGGUGAAAUUCUUGGAUUUAUUGAAGACUAACUACUGCGAAAGCAUUUGCCAAGGAUGUUUUCAUUAAUCAAGAACGA